rnacentral:rRNA from 1 species
UCUAGUGUCUAAUCUAGAUUUGAAACACUUCAAUCCUUUUCGAAUUUGAAAGUUCAACGAUCUAGGGGUUUUAAUACUAUAAAGGUUGCUUUAUGGGAAAAAAACCUGAUGCUAGAAA